GACGAACUGUCCUAACGUUGUUCGGAAUCACUGGGCUUAAAGGGCGCGUAGGCGGUCCGACAAGUCAGGGGUGAAAUCCUGCAGCUUAACUGCAGAAGUGCCUUUGAUACUGUCGGUCUUGAGGGAGAUAGGGGUGUGCGGAACUCACAGUGGAGCGGUGAAAUGCGUUGAUAUGACCCGGAACACCUAUUGCGAAGGCAGCAGGCUAAGCGAAGAUUGACGCUGAGGCUCGAAAGCGUGGGGAUCAAACAGG
rnacentral:rRNA from 1 species